rnacentral:tRNA from 5 species
GCCCAGUUGGCGGAAUUGGUAGACGCGCUAGACUCAAACUCUAGUAUCGAAAGAUGUACCAGUUCGAUUCUGGUACUGGGUACUA